rnacentral:rRNA from 1 species
UACAGAGGUCCCGAGCGUUGUUCGGAUUCACUGGGCGUAAAGGGUGCGCAGGCGGCCAAGUGUGUGAGGCGUGAAAGCCCGGGGCUUAACCCCGGAAUUGCACCUCAAACUACAUGGCUAGAGCAUUGGAGAGGGUAGCGGAAUUCACGGUGUAGCAGUGAAAUGCGUAGAUAUCGAGAGGAACACCUGCGGCGAAGGCGGGUUGCUGGGCUGAUACUGACGCUGAGGCGCGAAAGCCAGGGGAGCGAACGGG